ACUAAUUUGCUAUUCGGUGACAUAAGAGGGGGAGUGCGCUUUGCUUUCCCGGGGUCUGGGGCUAAUUCCUCCUCUCUUCCCCGUAAACUCAGCUCCUCGAGCUCAACACACAAAAGGGAGCGAGAGGUUCGAACCUUUGGGAAAAGUCUGUUAUAUAUAGUAGGUUUCGAGGCGAGUAAGAGAAAAAAACAAUAAACACCACAGCUCUUUCCAGCUAGAAUAUUAGGCACCACGAGAAAAAUAUUUGCCAAGCAGUUUUCGGAGGACAGGAUAGCCAUCACUGGAGGCAUGUGGGACCCCAGGACACAACUGAAAACGGGUCUUCGUGGUUUGAUGGUCCUGUGUUAGAAAAUCGGGGUGAUCUGACUACCUGGGUUUGGAGAUGGGCAUCUUGUUUUCUGGCAGAAUUGAGGAAAGCAAGGCUGCUUUGGGCUGUGUGUAAAUUGUAAACUGGUUCUCAGAACAGACUCCAGGUCACACCUAUCUGAAGCCGGCUUGACGGCAGGGAGAGCUGGAGAGCGGAAGAAUGUGCUGAGAAAGGGAGUGCUCGGUACUUUUCCAUUCACAUCUCCACAGUGGCUUUUCUUGUUUAUUUCAACCUCCACCAGCGGAACCCUGUCAGCUGCCUGAAAUCCGAGUCAUUAAACUGUUCCCUGAGAAACAACGAUGCUACACUAGCAAAGAGCCCACCUGGUACCAGAUCUUGAUUUCUGAUACUUCUGUGCAGUAAUGGAAAACAAGGCUCCUUGGAGAAACGUCUGGUUCUAGAUCUAGGACUGGGGCAAGAAGUAUUCAAAAUUAGAAUGGAACAUCUUAUAGCAUCAUAAAUAAAGAAUUGCUGAAAAACAAACGAAAACUACAUCGAUGGGGCAUAUUUCAAAGAGACACUGGAGCCACUUGAAGAGCUCCCAAUGGGCAAAGCUGGAAGAUUUGGAGUAAAAAAAAGAAAUCAAGUCAUAUUAGAUUACAAUCCAAAGUAUAAAAGAAAUAUCCAUGAAUCCCCACGGAUAUAAAUGAUUAAAUAAAUUAAUAAAUCAGAGAAAAGAGACAAAUCUCCCUUGCAGAAAAAUUCCAAAUCAUUUAUGUAGAUACACUGGCAGCAAGGAUGGGGGAAGGGGGCGGUGGGUAACUCCCCACUCCUCAGGUGUGAGCUAUGCACAGUGACUUCCUUCCAAAGAGUGCAGUAUGGGAAGGGAGGAAAGGAGGGAGGGAAUCAUUUUACAUGGAGAAACCUGACAUACACUAGCCAAUUCACCAAGGUGAACAUCAGCAAUGAUAAGCCAUGUUGAUUGUUAUGUACCUUUGAUCUGAGGAGAUGAAAAUGGCUUUUUACCUCUGUGGUCUUCCUCCCACACCCCAGUCUAUUUAUGAGAAAAGUCUCAGACAAGUUUCAACAGAAGGGCAUCCUACAAAAGACGUCACCAAUAUUCCACAGAACUAUCAGGGAAAGUCUGAGAAAUUGCAGCAGCUGAGAGUAACCUCAGAAGAUAUGACAACUUAAUGUAAUGUAGUAUCCUGGAUGGGAUCAUGAAACAGAAAAAGAUAAGGUAAACCCAGACAAAUCUGAAUAAAUGAGGAGCUUUAGUUAAUAAUAUUGUAUCAGUGUUGUUUCAUUAGUUGUUACAAAUGUACCAUAGUAAUAUAAAAUGUUAAUAAUAAUGGGAAACUGGGUAUAGGGUUUUUCUCUGCACUAUCUUCUCAAUUUUGCUGUUUAAAAAAUAUUUGGGGAGGGCAUAUCCUUAUUUAUUUAUUUAUUUUUCAAUACCAGAAUCCUCCAAAAAUGAGCUAGGUCUCUUGAAAUCUGAGAGAUUUUCUUCCCAGUCAACCAUGCCCCCCAGAUAGAGUCAGGAAAAUGAGGGAACCUGCAUUUAUUCUUUUAGUUUACUAAAUUGAAAGCAAUUUUGCUAAUUUCUCUAUGUCAUCAUCUGGACACAGAACUGUGAGGAGAACACUUAGGAAGCACCAAAGGCCAAGUGUUGUCAUGGUGGUGGAUGACUCAAGGCACCUCAUCAAUCUGCUUACUCCACAUUUCUUUCCGAAAAUCCUCCAUGGAAACAAGGCCCUGAAAGAUCUAGCCAUCAGUCCAUAAUAGACAUAUGAUACUUAGGGAUUCAUCACUGAGGUUGGGGGAGCCUCAAGACCUUCCUAGAAUGUCUGGUAUCUCAUUGUACAA